GCGGGCGUGGUGGAAUUGGUAGACACAGCAGGUUUAGGUCCUGCCGCCUCGCGGUUUGGGGGUUCGAGUCCCUCCGCCCGCA
rnacentral:tRNA from 1 species